AAUCUUCAAAAUUCAAUACAAUUUACCAUUUUCAUUGACCCUAUCAGCAAUAUCACUAGUAACUAUAAUUUUUCUUCCUUCUACACCUCUUCUCUGUCAUUAGUCUUUAAGCCUUUUUUUUCCUUAUUAUUUUUAAUAAAAAAGGGCGCCGCUUAUUUUCUAGGGUUUCAAUUUGUCGAAUCUAGGAUAACGAUGCUCCUUCAUCGAUUCUUUGUGCUUUUGGUUUCCUGUUGAACCUUUAUUGUAUCGAAUGGUUCUGCUCAUCCGAGGUUAUUCAACUUGCUGCGUGUUGUUUUCUUUUCGGAGUAAGACUCUUGUUGUCUUCUUUUUGUUGAUUAUAAUUGUGUGAUUCGAUUUCAGUUGAAAAUCUUUUUUUCUUAAAUAUCGUAAUGGUUGCUUUGAAUAAGUUCUGGAGUGUAAAUGUAUUGCUUUAAUUAGGUGUUUUUAAUAAAAGAAGGGAAUGGUAUUAUUAGGAUUGCUACAUAUUCCGACUUUUUCUUCUUGGUGUUGUUAAGAUCUACCAAGACAGCUAAUCGGGCAGGAUUUGUAAUCUGGGUCAGGUUCAAAAUCGUAAAUUUAUCUCUCCUUCAGUGGAGUCUACUGUUUCCCUUUGAUUCUCUUGGGGUUUGCUACUUGUAAAUGGACGACGGGGAGCUUGAUUUUUCGAACCAAGAAGUGUUUUCGGGCAACAUGGCUGAUAUUCCAAGCAGUUGCUCCAUGGACAGUUUUUUCGAUGAAUUACUCAACGAUUCUCAUGCUUGUACCCAUACACACACUUGCAAUCCACCCGGCCCCGAUAACUCUCAUACACACACCUGUUUCCAUGUUCAUACCAAAAUUGUGCCUGCCCCAACUGAAGAUACGGCUGCUAUUGAUGACACCGCGGAGUCUAGGGAGAAGAAAUCAAAGAAACGUCCUUUGGGUAAUCGGGAAGCUGUUAGGAAGUAUCGGGAAAAGGUUAAGGCACGAGCAGCCUCGUUGGAGGAUGAGGUUGUGAGAUUGAGGGCACUGAACCAGCAGCUGUUGAAGAGAUUGCAAGGUCAGGCCGCAUUGGAAGCUGAGAUUGCGAGGCUCAAGUGUUUGCUCGUGGAUAUUCGAGGAAGAAUUGAAGGGGAGAUUGGAUCGUUUCCUUAUCAGAAAUCAACAACAAAUGUUAACAUGAUGAAUUUGCCUGGUGCUUAUGUGAUGAAUCCCUGCAAUGUGCAAUGCAAUGAUCAAAUGUAUUGCCUUCACCCUGGGCCUGAAGUUAAAACAGGAGAAGCAGCAGAGCUGAAUGGGCAAGGAUUUAAUGGGUGUGAGUUUGACAAUCUUCCGUGUUUCGCAAAUCAGAACUCAGGAGAAAAGGAGCUUUCUACAUAUGGGGUUGGAAGUGCAGGGUCCAAUGGCAAUUCUUCUGGCACAAAAAGGAGGAAAGGUGCUAUGCAGCUACAGUAGGUUGAAGAACUUUUGAGGUCAGCAUUAUCCAUAUUCUGCGGGGUACAUAUUUGUCUUCCAACAAGCACUUUUCUUGGGCUGCAUCGCCAUCCCUCAGAUUUUAGGGAAGGUGGAAUAUCUUUGAUGUUUCAAUACUGUGAGCCCUUUGUAGGUGAGUUACAAGUUUCACUCCCCGCAGUCGUAGCUUGUGAUUCACUUGGGAAGCUACAAAUUAGCUUGCAUAGCUUUCAGCAAUUCCUAUUCCGGUUUUGCAUGACAUCAACUAGGCACAUGAAGUUUGCUUUUGCCAUAGCAUUCUGUUUGGGAAGGUUGCGAGAUGCCUACUCAAGCGGGAAGCUGUUGUUUAAACUGAGGUUUUGAUCAAUGGUCCUCUGAUGGAAACUCAUAGUGGUCAAAGAUGGGGUCGUUAAAACAUUACAAUUUUUUUAUGUAACUGAUAAUUGUCCCUGAGAGUAGCAGCUGCAUUCUGGCUUGCUACAAGCCUACAAUUGAAACAAAAUGGAAAGAGAAAUGUGCCUUUGAAAUUUAGGAAAAAAAAAGUUGAAUUUUGAGGUUGGCAAA